UGGGGAAUAUUGGACAAUGGGCGCAAGCCUGAUCCAGCAAUGCCGCGUGUGUGAAGAAGGCCUUCGGGUUGUAAAGCACUUUUAUCAGGAGCGAAACGCUGUCGGCUAAUACCCGGCGGAACUGACGGUACCUGAGGAAUAAGCACCGGCUAACUUCGUGCCAGCAGCCGCGGUAAUACGAAGGGUGCAAGCGUUAAUCGGAAUUACUGGGCGUAAAGCGUGCGUAGGCGGUUUCUUAAGUCUGCUGUGAAAUCCCCGGGCUCAACCUGGGAAUGGCAGUGGAUACUGGGAGGCUAGAGUGUGUCAGAGGGUGGUGGAAUUCCCGGUGUAGCGGUGAAAUGCGUAGAGAUCGGGAGGAACAUCAGUGGCGAAGGCGGCCACCUGGGACAACACUGACGCUGAGGCACGAAAGCGUGGGGAGCAAACAGGAUUAGGAUACCCUGGUAGUCCACGCCCUAAAGCGAUGCGAACUGGAUGUUGGUCUCAACUCGGAGAUCAGUGUCGAAGCUAACGCGUUAAGUUCGCCGCCUGGGGAGUACGGUCGCAAGACUGAACUUAAAGGAUUGACGGGGUCAUAGCUGUUUCC
rnacentral:rRNA from 1 species